UCAGAUGUUGACGACUCGACCACGGACACGUCAAAAGUCGGCCAAGUACCUCCAGUCAUCUUUGAACCAUAACGGGAAUGCAACUUGUGUGGAAACUGUUUUCCGAACAUGGAAAGAAUGGCGGGUAAUGUACCUUCUACGACUCCUAGGAGAACUGAACUCUGCAGUUGGUAGUUCCAGUCGAGUGCCUCCUCCGCCGCCUCCACCGAUCGCCGCGCCGCCUCGCGGGCAUACUCAUACUGCCCCAGGACCAGGAAACAGUUGCCAAUCUCGUGGUACAGCCAUGCAGACUCGACUCGGGUAGUACACAACUGUAUCUUCCGGGAAAAUCUUUGGACGGAAAACGUACAUAAUGUUUGUACAAUACCAUGCGUUUAACUGCAGAGGUUUUAUAAUUAUAGCUCUAAGCAUUAGAAUGUAAAGUAGUUUUCAUAGGAUACUGGGAACCGUUUUCUCACAUGAAAU